CGCACCGGAGAAAGAACAUACAAGCUGCUGGACAUUGAGAGGAACACACUGGCAGAAGAGCACACAGGCAGCUGGAUGUCGAGAGGGGCGGAAGAGCACAGCGACAGGCACUGGUGUAGACCGGCGGAACGACGUGGAGUUUGGCCCGGGAGGUUAGAGAAGACUUUGGCUGCUGGGCAGCCCCACUAUAGGGGAAAACCACCUUCCCACUGCGUUCCCCUUCUGAUCUCCCCACCCACCUCGCUGACAGCUACCACAACUCAAUAAAAAACCUUGCACUCAAUCUCCAAGCCCACAUGUGAUCCAGUUUUUCCCGUGCACUAAAGCAAGAACCUGGGAUACAGAAAGCCCUCUGUCCUUGUGAUAAGGCAGAGGGUCUAAUUGAGCUGAUUGACUCAAGCCACCUGCAGACAGCUAAGCUGAAAAAGCAUCCUGUAACACACGCCCACUGGGGCCUCAGCAGGUGUAAACAUUCACCCCGAGAGGCUGCAUGGGUCCGCGCCCAUGGUGCCCAUGAUUUGCCUGUUCCCCUGCUCCGGCUAAGGGUCUUGACCAGUGGGGCACUGAAGAAGCGAGCCACACCCCCAUCGUACGCCCUGCGAGGAGGGGUUUCACUCAGUGACCCAGGCUGAAUGCAGUGGAACAGUCAUGGCUCACUGUAGCCUUGAUCUUGAGGGCUUAAGCAAUCCUGCCACCUCAGCCUGCCUAGUACUGGGACUACAGAAACAUCAAAUAUAUUCAGCUUCCGUCUCUCUUCAACCAUGUAAAAUUAUUUCAACAACUAUCAGCAAUUGAAGGUGAAACUGGCAUGUCUGUUUGUUCUUCUCUUCCUGGUGUCAAAGACUCUUAAAGCAUGCA